GGGCGAUUAGCUCAGUGGGAGAGCGCUACCUUGACACGGUAGAGGUCGGCGGUUCGAAACCGCCCGCGCCUACCA
rnacentral:tRNA from 1 species